UUGCUCUUCAACGAGGAAUGCCUAGUAAGCGCAUGUCAUCAGCAUGCGUUGAUUACGUCCCUGCCCUUUGUACACACCGCCCGUCGCUACAACCGAUUGAAUGGCUUAGUGAGGCCUUCGGACUGUCCCAGGGAGGUCGGCAACGACCACCCNAGGGACGGAAAGUUGGUCAAACUUGGUCAUUUAGAGGAUGUAAAAGUCGUAACAAGGUUUCCGUAGGUGAACCUGCGGAAGGAUCAUUAAAGAGUAAGGGUCUCUGGCCCGAACCUCCAACCCUCUGUUGUUAUAACUACUUCGUUGCUUUGGCGGGACCGCGAAGGUUCUCCCGAGCGCGCCAGUCUCCGGACAGGCGAGCGCCCGCCAGAGUCUAACCAAACUCUUGUUUUAAACCAGUCGUCUGAGUAUAAAAUUUUAAUUAAAUUAAAACUUUCAACAACGGAUCUCUUGGUUCUCGCAUCGAUGAAGAACGCAGCGAAAUGCGAUAAGUAAUGUGAAUUGCAGAAUUCAGUGAAUCAUCGAAUCUUUGAACGCACAUUGCGCCCCUUGGUAUUCCGAGGGGCAUGCCUGUUCGAGCGUCAUUACACCACUCAAGCUAUGCUUGGUAUUGGGUGCCGUCCUUAGUUGGGCGCGCCUUAAAGACCUCGGCGAGGCCACUCCGGCUUUAGGCGUAGUAGAAUUUAUUCGAACGUCUGUCAAAGGAGAGGAACUCUGCCGAUUGAAACCUUUUAUUUUUCUAGGUUGACCUCGGAUCAGGUAGGGAUACCCGCUGAACUUAAGCAUAUCAAUAAGCGGAGGA
rnacentral:rRNA from 1 species